CUGUCUCACUUUUGGUUUCUUUUUUCCCCUUUGCAGUAACUGAUGAAAAUAUUGCACAGUAAUGUAACUAGAAAAUUGUCCAUACUAGAAUCUGCUGAUCAGCAUCUGAGGUAGUCGAAUUCAGAGGAUCCUGCUUGUCAUUUACUGUACAAUCAUUUCAAAGAGCAAUAUUAGUCACUGAAGCAGCUAUUAAAGAAUAUUAUUUUAAACUGUAGAAUGAGCUAAAAGGUGCUGAAGAUCUUCAUACCUGUAUUGGAAUUGCCAUUGUGAUCGGCCUGAUAUUUGCAGAAGAAAAAUCACAAUUUUAAAAGAAUGCUUAAAUACACAUGUUAAAUAGGUGCAUUGCUCAAGCAGAUUCAUGAAUGACCAGUAUGAAUAGGUGAUUGGAGACUGCUCCACACUUACAAAAAAUUCAGACUGCAGUUUGUGGCGAAGGUUCUCGUUAUCAUCUAGAAGUCUAGAGAUUUCAUUGUCCUUCUCCUCAAUCAUCUUAUCAGCAAGGUCACGAAAAGAAUCAAGCUCUUCCUACAAGUUAAAGAACUCGGUGUCACCAAACUAAAAAGUGUUAUGAUCAUACUGAUGAUUAUAAAUCACACCUUCAGUUUUUUGCAGCUUUGUUUGAGGUCAUCUAGUUCUUUUUGAACAUUAUCACCAGAGGUAACCACACUCUCUGCUUUAAAUGCAUCACAUUUCACUGCAAAACAGUAUCUAAAAUUAAUUUUCCAUUUGGAAGCUGAAUAAAU
rnacentral:lncRNA from 1 species